GAUUCCCCUAGUAACUGCGAGUGAAGCGGGAAAAGCUCAAAUUUAAAAUCUGGCGGUCUUCGGCCGUCCGAGUUGUAAUCUAGAGAAGUAAUACCCGCGCUGGACCGUGUACAAGUCUCCUGGAACGGGGCGUCAUAGAGGGUGAGAAUCCCGUCUCUGACAUGGACUACCAGUGCGUUGUGGUAUGCUCUCAAAGAGUCGAGUUGUUUGGGAAUGCAGCUCAAAAUGGGUGGUAAAUUCCAUCUAAAGCUAAAUAUUGGCGAGAGACCGAUAGCGAACAAGUACCGUGAGGGAAAGAUGAAAAGAACUUUGGAAAGAGAGUUAAACAGUACGUGAAAUUGCUGAAAGGGAAACGCUUGAAGUCAGUCGCGUUGGCCAGGGAUCAGCCUCGCUCUUGCGUGGUGUACUUUCUGGUUGACGGGUCAGCAUCAAUUUUGACCGCUAGAAAAAGGCCUGGGGAAUGUGGCAGCCACGGCUGUGUUAUAGCCCCUAGUCACAUAUGGCGGUUGGGAUUGAGGAACUCAGCACGCCGAAAGGCCGGGUUUCGACCACGUUCGUGCUUAGGAUGCUGGCAUAAUGGCUUUAAGCGACCCGUCUUGAAACACGGACCAAGGAGUCUAACGUGCCUGCGAGUGUUUGGGUGGAAACCCCAAGC
rnacentral:rRNA from 1 species